rnacentral:rRNA from 1 species
UAGGGAAUUUUGCGCAAUGGGGGCAACCCUGACGCAGCAACGCCGCGUGACCGAUGAAGCCCUUCGGGGUGUAAAGGUCUGUCAGUGGGGACGAACGAUGACGGUACCCACAGAGGAAGCACCGGCUAACUCCGUGCCAGCAGCCGCGGUAAUACGGGGGGUGCAAGCGUUGUCCGGAAUCAUUGGGCGUAAAGAGUUCGUAGGUGGUAUGUUAAGUCUGUGUUAAAUGCAGAAGCUCAACUUCUGUUCGGCACUGGAUACUGGCAAACUAGAAUGCGGUAGAGGUAAAGGGUAAUUCCUGGUGUAGCGGUGAAAUGCGUAGAUAUCAGGAGGAACAUCGGAGGCGUAAGCGCUUUACUGGGCCGUAAUUUGACACUGAGGAACGAAAGCCGGGGUAGCAAAAUAGGAUUAGAUACCC